rnacentral:misc_RNA from 1 species
CUUAGAAUUGAUUCUGUGCAAGAUUGCUGUCUUUGGUAUUUCAGCUCUUGGGCUUCGAAGACCACCAGAUAAAGUCCUUUUGUAUUCACCUUUGCUUUCAGUUUGUGCAACUUCUGACCGUUCUGAAGUAGAAUUCUUCUCUUCAUUGAGAAUAUCAGGCUUCAGAGGCUUCAAACUGCUCAACACUUCAACCAUUGUCCUACUUGCACUGAAUUUGCCAUCAUCAUAGACAUAAGAAUCUUCACUGACCUUGUUUAUCUGAAAACAAGAGAUGCAAAGGUAUACCAUCAGGAAAAUGUUCGUGGUUUGCAUUUUCACAAUGAAUAACCAGGCGGCUAUCCGGAAAAUGCCACUGACAUAAAAUUCAAAAGCCUACACUCCAAGCCCAACAAAGAUGAUGGACAUGACCUUGACCAAUCGCCUUUGCAAGCAAUGGACUACUUUGGUGUUCCACUACCACCAGCCAGAAUUUUCCCUGGAUUUUUUAAGUUCCCACAUUUCGGAGACUACAGAGAAAUGAGAUAUUUACCUGGACCUCAUCAAGGCUCACGCCAUUAUCCUGGAGAAAGGAUAAAAAGCUAUCAAAGCUAUCUUCUGUUGGCUGGUAGUGUCCCAUGCAUGGAGAAAUGGACUUAAGAAUUCCAUUCUCUACCGUUAAUCUUCCAGCAGCUAAUGUAGCAGCCCCAGCCAAGAAGCUUGAAUGAU